UACGAAGGUGGCAAGCGUUGUUCGGAUUUACUGGGCGUACAGGGAGCGUAGGCGGUUGGGUAAGCCCUUCGUGAAAUCUCCGGGCCUAACCCGGAAAGUGCGGAGGGGACUGCUCGGCUAGAGGAUGGGAGAGGAGCGCGGAAUUCCCGGUGUAGCGGUGAAAUGCGUAGAGAUCGGGAGGAACACCGGUGGCGAAGGCGGCGACCUGGGUAGAUACUGACGCUGAGGUGCGAAAGCGUGGGGAGCAAACAGG
rnacentral:rRNA from 1 species